rnacentral:rRNA from 1 species
GAUGAACGCUGGCGGCGUGCCUAAUACAUGCAAGUCGAGCGAACAGACGAGGAGCUUGCGCCUCUGACGUGAGCGGAGGACGGGUGAGUAACACGUGGAUAACCUACCUAUAAGACUGGGAUAACUUCGGGAAACCGGAGCUAAUAGCGGAUAAUAUAUUGAACCGCAGGGUUGAAUAGUGAAAGACGGUUGUGCUGUCACUAAUAGAUGGAUCCGAGCCGCAUUGGCUGGUUGGUAAGGUAACGGGUUACCAAGGCGAGGAGGCGUGUCCGACGGCAGAGAGUGGUAGCCCACCCUGGAGCUGGAACGCGCACAAUGCGCCUGCGGGAGGCACCAGUCGGGUAUGUUCCGCAAUGGUCGAAAGCCUGACGGAGCAACGCCGCGUGAGUUAUGAAGGUCCUCGGAUCGUAAAGCUCUGUUACGAGUUAAGAACAACUGUGUACGUAACUAUGCCCGGCUUGACGGUACCUAAUCAGAAAGCCCCGGCUAACUACGUG